AAUAAAAACCUAACCCAGUUGUCAAGCUCUCCUUCUGCAACAAUGGCUGCUUCAGAUUAAUAGGGUUCAUACAUCGUCCUCUUCUUAAGCUCUCAUCCCUCAACAAUGGUCGGUUACAGAUUCAUAGGUUUCAUAGCGUCGUUUUCUUCUCUCUGUAAUCAGGGCAACCGACGGUGUAGAUUCUGGAGGCAACCGUUACAGAAUGCAUUGAUGCGAUGCCAUUGGCGACCUUCUUAACUCCUUAGCCUCACUCCAUCCACGAUAAUUCAUUCAAUGCAUCUUAACUCAUCAAGGCGGUGGAACUUGAGCUAUAAAAAGACCAUCGUUUGCGGCGGACUAUAAUGACCGGACUCUUGCUAUCAUGUCUUGAUUGCAUAGAGUUUGAGAUAUGCGGAGCUUAGACGUGGCCGUGUUACUAACUCAACCUACAAGUUACAACCAAAGUAACAAAGGAAGAGUAACAGCAAACUAACUGAAGCAGUCGUGAGAGGCGGCUGCACAUGAAAAUGACGGAGAUAAUGCUCCUUUCCCUGAAAGGAUAAAGCUUUUACAAUGGUUAUGAUGUUAAAGAUGAUCAUUUAUUAAUAUUUUUGGUUUAAUAUUUUUGGUUUAUGCUUAUUAAGGUGAUGACAACAGUUCAACUGAAUAUCGGUAUUGUUCUCUCCAAAGGUCAAGCACCUGGUGGGCACACUGUCAUACAUGGACCAGUCGGUUGAUGUUGUCAUUAUCACCUCUAAGUUUUCAUGCUGAUGUAUCAAAGACAUGCAUUGAGCUUAAGAAGCAUCUCAUCACUGCUUGCUAUGUUGAUGGUGAAACAUCCAUGUGACAUGAGAUGGCUAAGAAUGCUUGGAUUACAGUUCUUGGUGACACGACAUCUCAUUACUUGGCCUUUUUGUGAUUGCCUUUUUCACUAGGCAAACUUUUAGUGCAUUUAGCUUCCAAAAUCUUCCUUAGAUAAUUGAGAAGGUGACCUUAUAAUCGAGAGGCUCAUAUCAGAAAGGGACAAGUGAAGUCUUUCACCUCUUCCUGUGGUAGCCUUCCCUUCUUUUGCUGCUGCAAAUAAUCCAUUAGCCGAUUCAAUGACUUCAGUCGGAUAUACCUAAAUCAUGCAAUAAUGUGAUGAGGACCAUACAUUCACCUUCCUCUUAUUUAAUAAUUUUUAUGUAUCUUUCUUUUGGGAAUUAUAAUAUAAUGCAAUAUUAUUUUACAGUAAAAGCACAUCAGUAUUACACCAACAAAGAACUCUAAAUAGAAAAAAAUAACAAUUAUAGCAGAAGAAAAAUUUAGGAAAAAAGGUAAACAUAUAAAGUUAACUUUUAAAAAAAGGAAUCACAUAGAGAAAAAUGUAUUUAUAAUAUACAGAAAUUAAUUAUUAAAUAAAUAAAUUGUAACAAAUUCAAAGUCAUUCAAUAAUAAAAUAUAGUUUUUUUUCUUAUCAAUAUACAGACUCAAACUGGCUAAAACCAGGAAAGAAGCUUUACAUCCAUGUGAACGAUGAAAGACGAUUGUAAUUGUCACUGUAAGAAGUCAAUGUAAAUUCAUAUUCGGAAAAUUAAUCAAUAUCACAUCAAAAAUUAUAAAUAGUUAUUCAUAUAACAUGGUUUAUUUGGUUUCCAAAUGUAAUAACUUAUACAAAAUUCAAAUAAAUAUCUAUAUUCCUAAAUAGUAACUAUUGAUAUUAGGUUAUCAUGCUACCCACCUAACUUAAAAUAAUUUUUAUUAUAAUAAAAUGACUAUUAUUAUUUGUCUGCAUCGUCUAAAAAAAAAGAAUUAUACAAAAAUGUACCAAAAAAUAGUGAAUUUAAAAUAAACAUAUAAGAGGAAAAUAAUCUAAGUUGUCUGUGUUAAACUCAGCCGACCAAAGUUUUUAAAAAAACAUUCUAAUUACUAUCAAAAUCAAAGUAGAAUGAACAUUAAAAACAAACUAAAACGGUAACACUUUCAUUAAAUAAAAUAAUUGAGAAAUAAAUAUAUGAUUUGAAAAUAGAUGUGGAACACAUUAUUAUUACAAACAAAUGAAACAGUUUGUUUCCA